CAUGGCUCAGAACGAACGCUGGCGGCGUGGAUAAGACAUGCAAGUCGAACGAGAGAAUUGCUAGCUUGCUAAUAAUUCCCUAGUGGCGCACGGGUGAGUAACACGUGAGUAACCUGCCCCCGAGAGCGGGAUAGCCCUGGGAAACUGGGAUUAAUACCGCAUAGAAUCGCAAGAUUAAAGCGGCAAUGCGCUUGGGGAUGGGCUCGCGGCCUAUUAGUUAGUUGGUGAGGUAACGGCUCACCAAGGCGAUGACGGGUAGCCGGUCUGAGAGGAUGUCCGGCCACACUGGAACUGAGACACGGUCCAGACACCUACGGGUGGCAGCAGUCGAGAAUCAUUC
rnacentral:rRNA from 1 species